CGGCGGACGGGUGAGUAACGCGUGGGUAACCUGCCUCAUACAGGGGGAUAACAGUUGGAAACGGCUGCUAAUACCGCAUAAGCGCACAGUACCGCAUGGUACGGUGUGAAAAACUCCGGUGGUAUGAGAUGGACCCGCGUCUGAUUAGGUAGUUGGUGGGGUAACGGCCUACCAAGCCAACGAUCAGUAGCCGACCUGAGAGGGUGACCGGCCACAUUGGGACUGAGACACGGCCCAA
rnacentral:rRNA from 1 species